GUGAGUGCUUACAACGUGGGUGCUAGCAAGGAAGGGCUCGCACUAAUCUUCUGGGAUUCCCUUUUCUUUGAUUUGCUCGAGUUGCUGGAAGGGUGCCAAUUUCCGUGUGAACAAAACUGUUGACCCAAACCCGUGGGUAUUGUGCAUCAGUACAUAAGUCAUAUUUCGAAAGCUCGGAUCAGAAAACUUCCUUGAUCAAAGUUGUUCAUCUGCUCGAGUACUAUAGCCAGUAAAAUUUGCAGAAUUUUUUGAAUUUUUCUGAUACCUCAAAGCUGGUUUGCAACUUCUGAAUUCAUCCAUGGCUGGCUUGAUUGAGAGAUUCCGCAGCAUGAGAAAUGCCAUCUUCUUACUAAUUUGCAAGGAAUUUGGUAGCAUGAAGGUGAGUUUUGGUUGCUUGUACCUUGACUUGCGAUAUGAAGGCUUUUGGAAGAUUUGAAACUGGCAGAAUGUUUGAAAUUAGGCAUGUACUGGAAGGAUGUUUGAAAUAGGGUAGGUGAUAAAAAUUCUUUGCUUAUGGAGUAGGUGCUAGAAGAAUGUAACUUGGCUUGUUUCAAAAAGGGGAAAUAGAAAACUGUUUCUCACCAUAAUGCAAGAUUAUCUAGGCUUGUUGUAAUCAAAGAGAUGAUUUAUACUGUGUGGCAAAAAAAAGGUAGAUGAGUUUGCUUGUUUGGAUGGCAUGGUGUACUUCCUUGAAUUUGCUUGGCAUGAAGCCCUCAAGUCAGCUUGUUGAGGUCAGCAAUUGGUUGCAGAGUUGGGUUAUAUUCUCUUUGGCUUACUCAAGGUCGAGAAACAAAGUAGA